UGGGGAAUUUUGGACAAUGGGCGAAAGCCUGAUCCAGCAAUGCCGCGUGCAGGAUGAAGGCCCUCGGGUUGUAAACUGCUUUUGUACGGAACGAAAAGCCUGGGGCUAAUAUCCUCGGGUCAUGACGGUACCGUAAGAAUAAGCACCGGCUAACUACGUGCCAGCAGCCGCGGUAAUACGUAGGGUGCAAGCGUUAAUCGGAAUUACUGGGCGUAAAGCGUGCGCAGGCGGUUUUGUAAGACAGUGGUGAAAUCCCCGGGCUCAACCUGGGAACUGCCAUUGUGACUGCAAGGCUAGAGUGCGGCAGAGGGGGAUGGAAUUCCGCGUGUAGCAGUGAAAUGCGUAGAUAUGCGGAGGAACACCGAUGGCGAAGGCAAUCCCCUGGGCCUGCACUGACGCUCAUGCACGAAAGCGUGGGGAGCAAACAGGAUUAGAUACCCUGGUAGUCCACGCCCUAAACGAUGUCAACUGGUUGUUGGGUCUUAACUGACCCAGUAACGAAGCUAACGCGUGAAGUUGACCGCCUGGGGAGUACGGCCGCAAGGUUG
rnacentral:rRNA from 1 species